CGAUGGAAUGGAGGCUUUUCCAGAGUGGUUGGGUAACCUUACAUCCCUUACGACACUGGGGAUUUACCUUUGCAAGAAGCUCAUGUAUCUACCUAGUGUCAGAGCUAUGCAACGCCUCACCGAAUUACAAACCCUAACAGUUUGGGGAUGUCCCCUUCUGCAGCAAAGAUGCACCAUGGACAGCGGCUCAGAAUGGCCCAAGAUUUCUCACAUUCCUGAUAUCAAAACUAAUUUCUUCUUUCCUAAAAUCAAAUUUCCUUUUCAUUCUUCACCUUUCGGUUUAACUAGAGUUUAUUCAUUCUGAAUAAUUUCUCCUUUUUAUUUUUUUAUCAAUGUUUUGAUGACCAGACAGCAGACGGAUUGGCUCUAUGCGUACAAUGAAUUCCUAAUAGCUCCAACUUUCACAGUGAAGAAAUGUACCCUUUCGUUGGAAGGCAAUGCUUCUCGGUAUUUGUGGAUUCUUUAUCACGACUUGUUUAGAGGGCCUGAGGGGAUGGGUACAGAGAGAGAGAUUGAUAUAUAGAGAGUGGGUUUAUUUGCAUCGUAACAACUUAAUUGAAACAGAACAAAGAAG